rnacentral:lncRNA from 1 species
ACUGAUCAGUUAAUCUGUUGAAACAUUGGUGAGGGGCUGGUGAGAUGGCCCAGCAAGCACAGGCGCCUGCUAUAAAGCCUGAGUUUGAGCGCUGGCCUUCAUAUGAUGGAAAGAGAGAACAGCCUCCUGCAAGUUGACCUCUGACCUCCACUCACCAUGUUAUGACCGUGACACACAUACACACGCAUAUACACAAAAUAAGUUUAAAAUGCAUUUAAAAAUACUGUAAAUGACAUGUAACUGUGCUGUCAGUCCUCAAGACUGUGGAGAAAAUGGAAAACAGAUGUGAGAGAUGCUGUCUAGAUGAGUAUAGUAUUCAGAGUCUACCUAGCACUACCCAAUGAUAGAUAGUAGGUAAUCAAGGCUCAGGAGUUAAGACAAUCGAAGAACAUACUGCUUGAUAAAAGCAGAGCCAAGUGGGUUAGAACAAAGUUUCCCAACUCCCUGGUUCUUAGAGCUCACAGCUUUGUAGAGCGUGUGCUUCAUGCUCUACAGUGUGCAAUGGAUCUGUGAGUGAGUGGACCCGUGUGCAAUGGCUUAGGUGUGGCUGCCUCAUGGACAGAGGUGGUUCUCCUUUCUCUAACCCUGAUGCCACAGUUAGUGCUCAGGGGUGACUGAGUCACCAGCACAUCACUGCAUGGAUGCGUGAAGACCUUCUCCAGACAUGUAUCUGAUGUCACAGAUGAGGAGGGCAUGCUAACCAGUAGGCCAAGGAACCUUCAUAUCACCCACCUCCCCCUCAGCUGAGGCUGCUGGGACAGAAGACCCUAUGCUGGAUGGUUUAAACAGAAGGCAUUUCUUUCUCACGGUCGUGGAGACCGGAAGCUCAGACGCCAGUGUCCAGAGACUCUGUACAGGAAUGGGGUGUGACAGCUUCUCCAGGGGGCCUCUGCACCUCUCCGUCUACCUAUGAGCCACUGCCUCCUGUACUGCCCUGACUCAGGCUGAAGCCACCCAACACA